GACCCCUCUAACAACUCCUCCCCCCACCCUCUACCAGUCAGGAGGGGUUUUGUCCUGAUAGGACCAAGAGGAGAUUUGACCAAUCAGGAUGAGUUCCAGGGGCGGGGUGACCCGUCCGGCAAUGAUUCGUGUGACCCCUCUAACAACUCCUCCUCCCACCAACGUCUACCAAUCAGGCCGCCCCAAAAGCAGAUUUGACCAAAAUAGGGGAGGUUCUGGGAUGGGGUGAACCACCCAGAUGAGGGGCGUGUGACCCCUCUGCCAGUCAGAGCGCAGCACCAUCACCCCAUAAGUCCCAGCGUCGGGCGGAAGAGGCUGUCUUUUACCAAGAGCUCGUGUUUUAGAAAUCGUGGAAACAUGGACUCCUUCACCAGCCCCGUGAGAACUUCGGACUUUGUUUUCGCCCCAAGGGCCUUUGGACUUGUGUGGAGAAAGCGCUACAUCAGCGAGAGUUCUGAGGAGGACCCUUUGGCCCAGCCGUUGAUGGACACACCGGAAACCGACCCCAAAACCCGGCUGCUUGUGAGGCACCGCGAUGAGCGUGAUGGCCUCUUGUUGUCCACCCCCUAGAGGUGGAAGGUGAUCAUGGCUUGGGGGAGUUACGGGCGGACAAGGUGAAUGCAAAAGACAUGGCUCAGCUCGAUGAUGCCUUUCUAGAGCACCCGGAGAACCCUGCUUAAGAAAAAGGUUAUUUGUAAGAAAUCUAAAAUGAUUAAGUUAGAAAAUGGUGAGGGGCCAAACAUGCGAUAUAAAACUUGGUAGCUGUAAAUUAAAAAAAAAAUCUAUUGAAAAGGGCUUGGUGACGAUCUGUAUUUCUGUUAAAAGGGCUCUGGCCCUUAAGGGAGCUGAAAGGUUUUUUUUUCUUUCUUUCUUUUUUUUUUAAUGGAGCAUCUUGGUUUGUUUUGAAGGAGCUGUAUGUCUUUUAAAUAAAAAAUUUUGUGAGCACCUCGCUCUUGUGUCUUUUGUGUAAGAGAGAGACCCAUUGACAGCAAAAAAAAAAAAAGCUGAAAUGUCUGUUGUGGGAGGGGAAAAAAUAUCCUAAAAAUGUAUUUACCAUAAAACAAACAGGGAUGGUUCAGACAUGUGGUUGAGGACAAUAGAGCUGACUUAUUCUCUUGAACUGAAUGGGUUUAACCACCCCCCUCACUGAAUAGCCAGGGUGACUGUGAUUACUCACCCUUGUUGCCAUAGGGUUAAUUUUGAUGGCGGGGGGGUGCACCCAUAGUAAGGGAGGUGGGUGGGCGAGGAUGGUGAGUUCUGAUUAAUAUGAAAUGAAAUAAAACCUCAGGAGUUCCCAGAUGCUAUUGGACAGACGAAAUAUAACCCCUGGAGUUGGCAGAACUCUAUUGGACAGUUUAAAUAUGACGCCAGGAGUUGGUGGAACGCUAUAGGCCAGUUUAAAUAUGACCCAGGAGUUGGCUGAAGGCCAUGGGGCACUUUUUCUAGAAAGCACCCCCACCCCACCAAACUUUAAGCAUGAAAGACACAUGUUUAAAAAAACAACAACAACAAAAAACACAAGCCCCAAGACAUUCAUUGAUAUCUGCAAAGGGUCCCUCACUUGAAAUGGUUAUUGUAAGAAGGCCCUACAGGGGUGGGGAAAAAAUGUAUUUGAACUUAAAAAAGAAAAGCAGCCCAAUUGUGCAGAGAACUUAUUCCCCCCAGAUCACAAAAGGGAAUGCUAGGGAGGGGUGAUCCAAUCAACCUGCUAACUAUUUUGAAACAAAAGAGUUAGGAUGGU